rnacentral:rRNA from 1 species
AACGAACGCUGGCGGCGCGCCUAAUACAUGCAAGUCGAGCGAGAAGACGUAGCAAUACGUUUGUAAAGCGGCGAACGGGUGAGGAAUACAUGGGUAACCUGCCCUCGAGUGGGGAAUAACUAGCCGAAAGGUUAGCUAAUACCGCGUACGCUCCUCGGACUUCGGUUCAGGGAGGAAAGCGAUACCGUGGGUAUCGCGCUCUUGGAUGGGCUCAUGUCCUAUCAGCUUGUUGGGAGGUAACGGCUCACCAAGGCUUCGACGGGUAGCUGGUCUGAGAGGACGAUCAGCCACACUGGCACUGCGACACGGGCCAGACUCCUACGGGAGGCAGCAGUAAGGAAUAUUGCGCAAUGGGCGAAAGCCUGACGCAGCGACGCCGCGUGGGGGGA